UGAAAUACCACCCUUUAAUGUUUGAUGUUCUAACGUUGGCCCCUGACCGGGGUUGCGGACAGUGUCUGGUGGGUAGUUUGACUGGGGCGGUCUCCUCCCAAAGCGUAACGGAGGAGCACGAAGGUUAGCUAAUCCUGGUCGGACAUCAGGAGGUUAGUGCAAUGGCAUAAGCUAGCUUGACUGCGAGCGUGACGGCGCGAGCAGGUGCGAAAGCAGGUCAUAGUGAUCCGGUGGUUCUGAAUGGAAGGGCCAUCGCUCAACGGAUAAAAGGUACUCCGGGGAUAACAGGCUGAUACCGCCCAAGAGUUCAUAUCGACGGCGGUGUUUGGC
rnacentral:rRNA from 1 species